UGGGGAAUAUUGCACAAUGGGGGAAACCCUGAUGCAGCGACGCCGCGUGAGCGAAGAAGGUUUUCGAAUCGUAAAGCUCUGUCCUAUGGGAAGAUAAUGACGGUACCAUAGGAGGAAGCCCCGGCUAACUACGUGCCAGCAGCCGCGGUAAUACGUAGGGGGCAAGCGUUGUCCGGAAUCACUGGGCGUAAAGGGUUCGCAGGCGGAAAUGCAAGUCAGUUGUGAAAGGCAGAGGCUCAACCUCUGUAAGCAAUUGAAACUGUAUUUCUUGAGAUGUGGAGAGGCAAGUGGAAUUCCUAGUGUAGCGGUGAAAUGCGUAGAUAUUAGGAAGAAUACCGGUGGCGAAGGCGACUUGCUGGACAUAAACUGACGCUGAGGAACGAAAGCGUGGGUAGCAAACAGG
rnacentral:rRNA from 1 species